rnacentral:rRNA from 1 species
GACAGAGGGUGCGAACGUUGUUCGGAAUUACUGGGCGUAGAGCGCGUGUAGGCUGUUCGGAAAGUCGGGUGUGAAAGCCCUGGGCUCAACCUAGGAAGUGCACUCGAAACUCCCGAACUGGAGUCCCGGAGAGGAAGGUGGAAUUCUCGGUGUAGAGGUGAAAUUCGUAGAUAUCGAGAGGAACAUCGGUGGCGAAGGCGGCCUUCUGGACGGUGACUGACGCUGAGACGCGAAAGCGUGGGGAGCAAACAGG